rnacentral:rRNA from 1 species
UACGUAGGUGGCAAGCGUUGUCCGGAAUUACUGGGUGUAAAGGGAGCGCAGGCGGGAAGCCAAGUCAGCUGUGAAAACUACGGGCUUAACUUGUAGACUGCAGUUGAAACUGGUUUUCUUGAGUGAAGUAGAGGUAGGCGGAAUUCCGAGUGUAGCGGUGAAAUGCGUAGAUAUUCGGAGGAACACCGGUGGCGAAGGCGGCCUACUGGGCUUUAACUGACGCUGAGGCUCGAAAGUGUGGGGAGCAAACAGG